rnacentral:rRNA from 1 species
CUGGCGGCGUGCUUAACACAUGCAAGUCGAACGAUGAAGCACCAGCUUGCUGGUGUGGAUUAGUGGCGAACGGGUGAGUAACACGUGAGUAACCUGCCCCUCACUCUGGGAUAAGCCUGGGAAACUGGGUCUAAUACUGGAUACGACCGAUUUCCGCAUGGAGUGUUGGUGGAAAGUUUUUGUGGUGGGGGAUGGACUCGCGGCCUAUCAGCUUGUUGGUGGGGUAAUGGCCUACCAAGCCGACGACGGGUAGCCGGCCUGAGAGGGCGACCGGCCACACUGGGACUGAGACACGGCCCAGACUCCUACGGGAGGCAGCAGUGGGGAAUAUUGCACAAUGGGCGAAAGCCUGAUGCAGCGACGCCGCGUGAGGGAUGACGGCCUUCGGGUUGUAAACCUCUUUCACCAGGGACGAAGCUAACGUGACGGUACCUGGAGAAGAAGCACCGGCUAACUACGUGCCAGCAGCCGCGGUAAUACGUAGGGUGCGAGCGUUGUCCGGAAUUAUUGGGCGUAAAGAGCUUGUAGGCGGUCUGUCGCGUCUGCUGUGAAAGACCGGGGCUUAACUCCGGUUCUGCAGUGGGUACGGGCAGACUAGAGUGUGGUAGGGGAGACUGGAAUUCCUGGUGUAGCGGUGAAAUGCGCAGAUAUCAGGAGGAACACCGAUGGCGAAGGCAGGUCUCUGGGCCAUUACUGACGCUGAGAAGCGAAAGCAUGGGGAGCGAACAGGAUUAGAUACCCUGGUAGUCCAUGCCGUAAACGUUGGGCGCUAGGUGUGGGACUCAUUCCACGAGUUCCGUGCCGCAGCUAACGCAUUAAGCGCCCCGCCUGGGGAGUACGGCCGCAAGGCUAAAACUCAAAGGAAUUGACGGGGGCCCGCACAAGCGGCGGAGCAUGCGGAUUAAUUCGAUGCAACGCGAAGAACCUUACCAAGGCUUGACAUACACCGGAAUCAUGCAGAGA